rnacentral:rRNA from 1 species
CCUACGGGAGGCAGCAGUGAGGAAUAUUGCACAAUGGGGGCAACCCUGAUGCAGCAAUGCCGCGUGUAUGAAGAAGGCCUGAGGGUUGUAAAGUACUUUCAAUUGGGAGGAAAAGUUUAAGGCUAAUACCCUUGAACCGUGACGUACCAUUAGAAGAAGCCC